rnacentral:rRNA from 1 species
UACGGAGGGCGCAAGCGUUGUUCGGAAUCAUUGGGCGUAAAGCGCGUGUAGGCGGCCUGGCAAGUCGGGUGUGAAAGCCCGGGGCUCAACCCCGGAACUGCAUUCGAUACUGCCUCGCUAGAGUCCCGGAGAGGAAGGCGGAAUUCCCGGUGUAGAGGUGAAAUUCGUAGAGAUCGGGAGGAACACCAGCGGCGAAGGCGGCCUUCUGGACGGUGACUGACGAUGAGACGCGAAAGAGUGGGGAGCAAACAGG